rnacentral:rRNA from 1 species
AUUGAACGCUGGCGGCAGGCUUAACACAUGCAAGUCGAGCGGGGUGAUGGUGCUUGCACUAUCACUUAGCGGCGGACGGGUGAGUAAUGCUUAGGAAUCUGCCUAUUAGUGGGGGACAACAUUUCGAAAGGAAUGCUAAUACCGCAUACGUCCUACGGGAGAAAGCAGGGGAUCUUCGGACCUUGCGCUGAUAGAUGAGCCUAAGUCGGAUUAGCUAGUUGGUGGGGUAAAGGCCUACCAAGGCGACGAUCUGUAGCGGGUCUGAGAGGAUGAUCCGCCACACUGGGACUGAGACACGGCCCAGACUCCUACGGGAGGCAGCAGUGGGGAAUAUUGGACAAUGGAGGGAACCCUGAUCCAGCCAUGCCGCGUGUGUGAGGAAGGCCUUAUGGUUGUAAAGCACUUUAAGCGAGGAGGAGGCUCUUUUGGUUAAUACCCAGGAUGAGUGGACGUUACUCGCAGAAUAAGCACCGGCUAACUCUGUGCCAGCCGCCGCCGUAACAC